AGAUUGAACGCUGGCGGCAUGCCUUACACAUGCAAGUCGAACGGUAGAGUAGCAAUACUUGAGAGUGGCGAACGGGUGAGUAAUAUAUCGGAACGUGCCCAGUCGUGGGGGAUAACGUAGAGAAAUUUACGCUAAUACCGCAUACGAUCUAAGGAUGAAAGCGGGGGACCGUAAGGCCUCGCGCGAUUGGAGCGGCUGAUAUCAGAUUAGGUUGUUGGUGAGGUAAAAGCUCACCAAGCCGACGAUCUGUAGCUGGUUUGAGAGAACGACCAGCCACACUGGGACUGAGACACGGCCCAGACUCCUACGGGAGGCAGCAGUGGGAAUUUGGACAAUGGGACGAAAAGCCUGAUCCAGCAAAUGCCGACGUGACGAAGGAAGAAAGGGCCCUUAGGGGUUCGUAAACGUAGUCUUUUGUUAACGGAACGGAAACCGGU
rnacentral:rRNA from 1 species